CGUAGGGUCGCGAGCGUUGUCCGGUAAUUAGUUGGGACGUAAAGAGCUUGUAGGCGGCUUGUCGCGUCUGACUGUGAAAUCCCGGGGCUCAACCUCGGGCUUGCAGUGGGUACGGGCAGGCUAGAGUAUGGUAGGGGAGACUGGAAUUCCUGGUGUAGACGGUGGAAUGCGCAGAUAUCAGGAGGAACACCGAUGGCGAAGGCAGGUCUCUGGGCCAUCACUGACGACCGAGAAGCGAAAGCGUGGGGAGCGAACAGGAUU
rnacentral:rRNA from 1 species